rnacentral:rRNA from 1 species
CAUGCCGCGUGAGGAUGAAGGCCUUCGGGUUGUAAAGCUCUUUUUGCCGGGACGAUAAUGACGGUACCCGCAGAAUAUGCACCGGCUAGGUUCAUGCCACAAGGCGCAGUACUACGCAGGGGGCGCGGGUUGUUCGGAGUUACUGGGCGUAAAGCGAAUUUAUGGGGUUUAAUGAGUCGGGGGGGAAAUCCUUAGGCUCAACUCGAAAACUGCCUCCUAAACUGAAAAGCUCGAUUGCUGCUGAAGGUAUUGGGAUUCCGUGUGGUAAGGGGAAAUUAGUAUAUAUUCGGAAGAAUCCCUGUGGUUAAAGCGGAUCCCUAUUCCGAUACCGACGUUCAAACGCGUAACCGUAGGGUGAGAACCGGAAUAGAUACC